AUGUUUGUUUUUACAUUUGAUGAAUUUGCAUUGUUGGUUGAAGAUGUUGGCUCAUAUUCAACCUUUCUGUAAGUUUUAACGUUCGAAGAGUGGGCCUUCUCAACCACGUAGUUUUGACCAGAGUCAACCGUUGCACUCCCUUCAGUCAUCGGAAUCUUGUAGCUGACCACAUCGUUUAGAAAGUUAACCGCUGCAAUCCCAGCUCUAACAAAAUGACCGGUUGUAAGACCCGACGGGUGCAUCUGGUCCGUUUCGUCAGCAUAACUUACACAAUCUGGUUUUACCAAUAAUGUUGGGUGGGAAGUUGAACGGUCAACUAUCUUAGACUCAGGUUUCGUGGAAUUCAAUAUUACGGUGGAAGCUUUGGGCACCAAAGCGGGCGCCUUUUGUGCGUUUCGGACUACAUUUGUGGUGGUAAUUUGCCUCUUAGAAGUGCAAGUUUCAUCUUCUGAACAAGUGCAUGAACUCCCGUCUGCACUACAUCUUGACCCGUUGAGAAAAAACGACCUAGCUGACUGGGACAGAACACCUAGCUGCUUCGUACGCAACAUGGUCUGUAAAAAGGUUUACCAUAAAAGAAACUAUCAGCUAACGUGAUUUCGACAAAUCUAUAAUCUCGAUCAAAUGUAUUGUUCGAUAAGAUCACCAUGUAACCGUACAUAUCUCUAUAACAAUUAACAAGAAGGUGAUUUCGACACCAUUCAUGUCUGCAACAUAAUAAUAAUAAUAAUAAUAAUAAUAAUUUCAAAAAUAUGCAAUGAAACGCAAUCUAAUAUGUUUCAACUCCUAGAAAAACCUAAUUUUGAUGUUUAAAUCUAGCCUGUUUUUUUUUUUUUUUUUUUUUUUUUUUUUUUUUUUACAAAUUCAAAAUUCUUGUUUUUAACUCCAAGAUCAUAACUUGCAUACAUUCCCAGUAAAUAUGAUGUACACAAAAUCUUUUCUACCUAACAAUCACAACAAAUUCAACCAGUUUUAAUCUAAAAUACAAAAUCAUCAGCAGCGCACAAGUCACGUGU
rnacentral:lncRNA from 1 species